rnacentral:rRNA from 1 species
UACGUAGGGGGCAAGCGUUGUCCGGAUUUAUUGGGCGUAAAGAGCGUGUAGGCGGCCUGGUAGGUCAGCUGUGAAAACUCGAGGCUCAACCCUGGGAUGCCGGUCGAUACUGCCGGACUAGAGUUCGGAAGAGGCGAGUGGAAUUCCCGGUGUAGCGGUGAAAUGCGCAGAUAUCGGGAGGAACACCUAUGGCGAAGGCAGCUCGCUGGGACGUUACUGACGCUGAGACGCGAAAGCGUGGGGAGCAAACAGG